GCAUAGUCGCGGGCAGUAGACCCGAAACCGGGUGAUCUAGUCAUGCCCAGGGUGAAGGUGCGGUAACACGCACUGGAGGCCCGAACCCACUCCCGUUGCAAAGGUAGGGGAUGAGGUGUGAUUAGGAGUGAAAAGCUAAUCGAACCCGGAGAUAGCUGGUUCUCCUCGAAAGCUAUUUAGGUAGCGCCUCAUAUGUAUCCUCUCGGGGGUAGAGCACUGUUAUGGCUAGGGGGUCAUCGCGACUUACCAAACCAUUGCAAACUCCGAAUACCGAGACGGACUGUAUGGGAGACACACGGCGGGUGCUAACGUCCGUCGUGAAAAGGGAAACAACCCAGACCCACAGCUAAGGUCCCAAAUUCACUGCUAAGUGGAAAACCAUGUGGAAAGGCACAGACAGCCAGGAGGUUGGCUUAGAAGCAGCCACCCUUUAAAGAAAGCGUAAUAGCUCACUGGUCGAGUCGGUCUGCGGGGAAGAUUUAACGGGGCUAAGCAGUGAACCGAAGCUUGGGGUGCAUACUUUGUAUGCGCGGUAGAGGAGCGUUCCGUAAGCCGUUGAAGGUGGAUUGAGAAGUCUGCUGGAGGUAUCGGAAGUGCGAAUGCUGACAUGAGUAACGAUAAUGCGGGUGAAAAACCCGCACGCCGAAAGCCCAAGGUUUCCUUGCGCAACGUUAAUCGGCGCAGGGUGAGUCGGCCCCUAAGGCGAGGACGAAAGUCGUAGUCGAUGGGAAGCAGGUUAAUGUUCCUGCACCUCGCGUAAGUGCGAUGGAGGGACGGAGAAGGUUAGGUGUACCAGGCGUUGGUUGUCCUGGGGAAAGGCGGUAGGUUUGGAUCUUUGGCAAAUCCGGGAUCCUUUAAGACCGAGCACCGAGACGAGCCUUUAUGGCGAAGUCACUGAUACCACGCUUCCAGGAAAAGCUCCUAAGCUUCAGCUUACGCAGACCGUACCGUAAACCGACACAGGUGGGUAGGAUGAGAAUUCUCAGGCGCUUGAGAGAACUCGGGUGAAGGAACUAGGCAACAUGGCACCGUAACUUCGGGAGAAGGUGCACCCUUUUUGGUGGCUCGUGCGAGCUAUAGCUGAAGAGGGUCGCAGUAACCAGGCCGCUGCGACUGUUUAUCAAAAACACAGCACUCUGCAAACACGAAAGUGGACGUAUAGGGUGUGACGCCUGCCCGGUGCUGGAAGGUUAAUUGAUGGGGUCAGCCGCAAGGCGAAGCUCUUGAUCGAAGCCCCAGUAAACGGCGGCCGUAACUAUAACGGUCCUAAGGUAGCGAAAUUCCUUGUCGGGUAAGUUCCGACCUGCACGAAUGGCGUAACGACAGCGGCGCUGUCUCCACCCGAGACUCAGUGAAAUUGAAAUCGCUGUGAAGAUGCAGCGUUCCCGUGGCAAGACGGAAAGACCCCGUGAACCUUUACUAUAGCUUUACACUGAACGUUGAGUUCGUCUGUGUAGGAUAGGUGGGAGGCUAUGAAACUGUGGCGCUAGCUGCAGUGGAGCCAUCCUUGAAAUACCACCCUGUCGUGCUUGACGUUCUAACCUGGGCCCAUUAUCUGGGUCGGGGACCGUGUAUGGUGGGUAGUUUGACUGGGGCGGUCUCCUCCUAAAGAGUAACGGAGGAGCUCGAAGGUACGCUCAGCGCGGUCGGACAUCGCGCACUGUGUGCAAAGGCAUAAGCGUGCUUGACUGCAAGAUCGACGGAUCAAGCAGGUAGGAAACUAGGACUUAGUGAUCCGGUGGUUCUGUAUGGAAGGGCCAUCGCUCAACGGAUAAAAGGUACUCCGGGGAUAACAGGCUGAUACCGCCCAAGAGUUCAUAUCGACGGCGGUGUUUGGCACCUCGAUGUCGGCUCAUCACAUCCUGGGGCUGUAGUCGGUCCCAAGGGUAUGGCUGUUCGCCAUUUAAAGUGGUACGCGAGCUGGGUUCAGAACGUCGUGAGACAGUUCGGUCCCUAUCUGCCAUGGGCGUUGGAGAUUUGAGAGGGGCUGCUCCUAGUACGAGAGGACCGGAGUGGACGAACCUCUGGUGUUCCGGUUGUCACGCCAGUGGCAUUGCCGGGUAGCUAUGUUCGGAAGCGAUAACCGCUGAAAGCAUCUAAGCGGGAAGCGCGCCUCAAGAUGAGAUCUCCCGGGGCACAAGCCCCCUGAAGGAACCAUGUAGACUACGUGGUUGAUAGGUCAGGUGUGUAAGUACAGCAAUGUAUUGAGCUAACUGAUACUAAUGAUCCGUGCGGCUUGACCAU
rnacentral:rRNA from 1 species